AUUGAACGCUGGCGGCAUGCUUUACACAUGCAAGUCGAACGGUAACAGGCCGCAAGGUGCUGACGAGUGGCGAACGGGUGAGUAAUGCAUCGGAACGUGCCCAGUCGUGGGGGAUAACGCAGCGAAAGCUGCGCUAAUACCGCAUACGAUCUAUGGAUGAAAGCGGGGGACCGUAAGGCCUCGCGCGAUUGGAUGGGCCGAUGUCAGAUUAGGUAGUUGGUGGGGUAAAGGCUCACCAAGCCAACGAUCUGUAGCUGGUCUGAGAGGACGACCAGCCACACUGGGACUGAGACACGGCCCAGACUCCUACGGGAGGCAGCAGUGGGGAAUUUUGGACAAUGGGCGCAAGCCUGAUCCAGCAAUGCCGCGUGCAGGAAGAAGGCCUUCGGGUUGUAAACUGCUUUUGUACGGAACGAAACGGUCCUGGUUAAUACCUGGGGCUAAUGACGGUACCGUAAGAAUAAGCACCGGCUAACUACGUGCCAGCAGCCGCCGUAAGAC
rnacentral:rRNA from 1 species